GUUUAGCUUUUAAGUUGACAUGAUUAUUUGUACAUACUCUAUCGUGUUUAAGGUAAAUCAUAAUACAUUGGCAAAAGACAUUUAAUAAUUUGUGUGAAACGCCAACUCAAAGUAGUACUUCAACUUUGUGCUUGUGUUUUCAAAAUGACAAAGGCAUUGUUUUGGAGUUCCUUAUCAUAUUUUUUAAAUGGUUGAAAAUUUCUCUUGACAUUUGUAGAAAACAAGUCUGGAAAGUUCAUCAGCAAAUGCACACAGACAGACACACAGGCGCGCACACACACACACACACUCACACACAGGCGCGCGCGCGCAAACACACACACAUACACUCACACACAUGGACACACACGGACACGCACAAAAACAAACAUUGCGGUUGCUAAGGAAGUCUCUUUGAUCUCAGUGGCGUCAGACCUCCUCUUACAUCAUGUGACCGGUCUUUGUCUUUGUGUUCAUAAACUGUCGGGUAGUCAUUAUCUGAGAGCUACCGUAGUUGUCCAGGCAAGAGUUGUUUCAACAUAGAGCGAUGACAGUUGUUAAAAUGACCCUCCUACGCUGCAAAGAUACUGUAAUCAGGUUUCAGAUUUCAUCCACUCAAGUGGCGCAACUGGAAAUGUGUCAUAAUUGUGGAGUAAAAAAAUUUAAAAAAAGAGGGAAUCAGAAAGGAGUCAGCCCUGAGUGCAAUGUCAACUAACAGAUUAGACAUACCUCUUCUAUGCGAGCUCAGCACCAUCGAAAUACAGUUGGGGAACUUCUCUGCUGUCCUACCAUUUUGUGUUUAUUUUAUUAUUACUCUUAGUCGAGAUACUGCACGUUAUUGUCUGUUUCACAGACAUGUUCUAGCAGUACUGUUUCAUAAUUCCUUUAAAGGCAGUGACUUAACUUUUAAAAGUGACCUCAAGUGCAACUUUUCUUGCUUGCUAUAAAUAACUAUACGGACAGUUUACAGUCAAAAGUUAUGUGCUUUCUGGAACCACAGCAGCUAAAUGAGACUGGUGUUAAGACCGUGCUCACAAAGUGUCGAAAGUGUCGUGCAGUUUGUAGUGUUCAUUUAGUUUGGAUGGGUUAUGAAGUUGUACUGUUUGAAUCUAAUUUGAAGUUGUAUUUUGACUAACUUGUCUAUCACAAAAAACUCAGCAUUCUGACUGACUCUCAUUUCUUUGAAAUCUUGCCACGUCGCUAAUACAACCCUGGAACGAAAUUAUGCAAUCAGUGCUCCAGAAAUCAUUUAAAUGUUUUUUAUUUGAAUUGUACCACCCUUUUGGCUUUAAGAAACACACACUCAAGAAAAAGCAAGAAAGAUAAUUGUUGUAGUCAGUCACAUUUCAUUUGAGUAGGUGUGGGACAAAAUUCUGAGGGAAAAUAAUGAUUGAAUCGCCUUGUAAUUUUCACAAAUGAAACGCAUACCUGAAUCAGAUUGAAUCUGCUAAUUAGUGAGACGUUUAAUAAAAGUGCUCACAUCUUCGAGAGCUGUUGCACCAAAUGGGUUGACCAGAAUCAUGACUCCCACACACGAGAUGUGAAUUGAAAAAAAAGAGGAAAAGAUAGAAUGGAAAGGAAAUGUUCAAUGACAAGGCAUCAAUCUGCACAGCUGAGUCAGAUUGAUGAAAAAUACUGUUUAUCACUCAUCUGAGUUCUAAAAGCCAAAAAGCAGAGGCGGUGAACGAACGUACUAAUAGUCUAGUCUUGAAUGUUUUUUUUCCUCCAUGAUUCCAUACUUUUUCAUCAAGAUUUCAGUGAUUUUCAGUGAUUCAGUAUUGGAAAAAUGUAUAUAUUUUUUCGCCCUUUGUUCUCCAAAAUGAAACGCAUGAAAUGGUCAUUCUCCAGAAGCGUGAAUUCCAUAAUUUUGGCCAAGGGUUGGAAAUGGCACCUCAACACGUGUCCCAGUAAGAGCACCAAGGGAUGCAGUUUGUUUCUUGCAGCAAGUUUGAAUGUGUGCAACGGAAGAAGCUAAGAAAUGGUCAUUUUUUUGUUUUACUAUGAACUCUGCCCAAUACGUGAUAGCAAAAGUAGGCCCUGGAAGAGAUUCUUAAUUGAACUCUAUUGUCUUAACGUGCCUUUCCAGAACCAGAUUGUCAUCCUUUAAUUUUGCCGCCAAUUACUUUAAGCACUGUUUAAAAUCUUAGCACACCACCAUUGUAAUCAGGAAAGCUUAAAAUGUUAAUACACAUUAUUUAAAUCCCUACAUAGCACCCAGCCAUCUCAGCUUAGAGAUCCAAUAAACAUCGAUUUGAAGCUAAUGACUGUGCCUUGGAUAAACAAACUCGCGCAUUCCGCAUGUUGCUAAACCAACAAGUUUGCCGAAACGUGGCACAAAAUCAAAAUCUUUUAAAAUGGCUAUAGAAUGCCACAGCAUAUUCACGGGCAACUUUUGUUUCUACCUUUCCAUGCUUAUACAGACUGUCUGUUUCCUUGUUUCGUACAAACUUCAGCUCCACCAACCUGUAUAAACUACCAAAAAAAUCCUUAUAAAGAGCAAAAAAUCCUUAAUACAUACCAAAGCAUUUUAUGUCAAAAUAACGGCAGAAAAAAACUCACAAAAUUUUCAAUGAUAUUUAUUGUAGAUCUCCAUAAUACAAUGUCUGGUCAACGUCUAAUCAUCAUUCUACUUAGUGGCAUUACUGUGUUCAGAGUUGUAUUCCUGCACUAUCACCAUUCUGGGCAAAAGCAAACAGAACUACCUGUUGGGGGG